AGCAGUAGCCGCGGGAAAACGAGGGGGGCAAGCGUUGUUCGGAAUUAUUGGGCGUAAAGGGUGCGUAGGCGGUCUGAUAAGUCUGAUGUGAAAUCUAUGGGCUCAACCCAUAGUCUGCAUCGGAAACUGUCAGGCUUGAGGAUGGGAGAGGUGAGUGGAAUUUCCGGAGUAGCGGUGAAAUGCGCAGAUACCAGGAGGAACGCCGAUGGCGAAGGCAGCCACCUGGUCCACUUCUGACGCUGAGGCGCGAAAGCGUGGGGAGCAAACCGGAUUAGAUACCCCCGUAGUCCCUGUCUCUUAUAC
rnacentral:rRNA from 1 species